rnacentral:lncRNA from 13 species
UGGUGCAUAGUUCGGUAUUACUGGGAGAAAAAGCCCCUCAUUAUAUUGAUAUGGCUAGACCAGAGUCAAUCCAUUUCCUCCCUACUCCCCUGGUGUGUGCUGAGCUUUUGAGAUGAUCACUGUCCCAGUGACGCCAGCUGACUUGUUACAAGGUCGUUGACCUUGGAUCUGAGAUUAGAGUUGAAAAGGGGAGAGAAAAGAGUACAACCAGCAAACAAAGCAAAGUAACUACAUAGUCUUUCUGGUUAGACAUAUUCAUGUUGCAGGAUGUUCACCCACAUUACUUCCCUAUGUCUAAUUCUGUCAUUUAUCCCUCUUGUCUUUUCUACUCUGUGGUGGAUGACCAGCAGCUGAAGCUGCACUGACAAAAUCUCAAGAGGAGAAAGGACUGAUGGAAGUUACAAAACAAGGUUGUUUAGCUGUAAAAAUGUCAUUUUGAACAUGAGUUCUAUUGCUGUAGACUUAGUUUGGCAUCACAUACAUUUUAAGACAAAACUAACACCUUACCACUCUACUGUUUAUGAAUACCACUAUUUUGUUUAUGUUUUUAUUGAAUAGGAAACAAAGAUCCUGAGGAUGACCAUUCUGAGAACACUGGAAAUAUAACUUCUAUACCAAAAGUGACAGACACAGAGCAUGUACAGGACAAGCCCAACCCAGGCCAACAAGACCUAGUCACACCAGACCACACCCAGGCCCAACAAGACCUAGUCACAGCAGACCCCACCCCUGCCCAACAAGACCUAGUCACACCAGACCCCACCCCUGCCCAACAAGACCUAGUCACACCAGACCCCACCCCUGCCCAACAAGACCUAGUCACAG